AUUUUUGCUGUUUCUUUGGUAUUCUAGCUGUAGAUUGUUUCACGCACAUUGUAUAUCAUCUAAAGCUUUUAUACCAAAGCUCCAGCUUAAAU
ensembl:ncRNA mir-9c mir-9c stem loop